rnacentral:rRNA from 1 species
UCGGGAAUUUUGGGCAAUGGGCGAAAGCCUGACCCAGCAACGCCGCGUGAAGGAUGAAGUAUUUCGGUAUGUAAACUUCGUAAGAAUAGGAAGAAUAAAUGACGGUACUAUUUGUAAGGUCCGGCUAACUACGUGCCAGCAGCCGCGGUAAUACGUAGGGACCAAGCGUUGUUCGGAUUUACUGGGCGUAAAGGGCGCGUAGGCGGUGUGUCAAGUCAGUUGUGAAAUCUCCGAGCUUAACUCGGAACGGUCAACUGAUACUGUUAUACUAGAGUACAGAAGGGGCAAUCGGAAUUCUUGGUGUAGCGGUGAAAUGCGUAGAUAUCAAGAGGAACACCUGAGGCGAAGGCGGGUUGCUGGGCUGAUACUGACGCUGAGGCGCGAAAGCUAGGGUAGCAAACGGGAUUAGAUACCCCUGUAGUCCCUGAGCGGGCUGGCAAGGCGCAU